UGCACUGUAGAGAAAGACUAGGGGCUGAGUUAGAACUCGGGACUAUAGUAACGCCAGUCAUAAGUGCAUACCAAACGAAGGCAGUCCUUAAGUUAUACCAUUUCUACGCUAGGCUAAGUCGUUAAGUACGCUAUAUUAUUGGAUGCUAUCAAUAAUAAGAAGAGAGAUGGGAAUCUAAGAAAAUCCUGGUCAUCAAGGUUAGCAUGUUUCUUGGAUACAAUGGGACAACCUACGAACUUCUGGUCAGUUUCUGCAACUUUCUUAGCUACACAGUUGUUGGGGUUACCUGCAUCUACAAGGCGCCUCAGGUGUAUGCCGUGGUCAGUUCCGGGUCAUCUUUGGGGAUCGCCAUACCCAGUUUGACCUUAGAGUUUACGUCAUACACUAUCGAGACUGGAUAUCAGUACGGUAUGGGGUAUCCUUUGGAUACUUAUUUUGAGACAACUCUGAUGUGGGCGCAAGAUGUCAUUCUGUUCUGGGUGGUUCUGGAAAAUCGGAAAAUGCUGAACUUGAGACUCGCACCGUAUAUUGCAUUGUAUCCUUUUAACAUAACAAGAAAUUCAGGGAAAAAAGUAAAAACAUCUCUAAUGUAUAUUCCGUUAAGUGCAUAGUUGCUCGGUACAGGAAUAAUUACAUUUAUAUAGCGCUGUUAGCAAAAACAAAAAGGUAGCCUCAAGACGCUUCAACAAAGUAAUAAUUCAAGAUUACAAAUGGAACCUGCCUUUUUACUUUGUCAACAACUCCUAUCAUAUGUAGCAGUAAAAUUGUUCAGUUGUGGAAACUUUUGACUACCCAGCAGCCCGGAAGUCUGAGUGCUUUGACCUGGGGGCUUCUCUCUUAUUUGGCAGGAGCCAGGGUGUUAACAGCGAUUGUGAUAACAGGAGAUAUACCCAUGUUCUUCAACAAUUUCUUUGCCACAUUUCUAGAUAUUUGGCUGUGUUGUGCUAUUAUCUACUAUAAUAGAAAAAAGAGAGCCAGGCGACGGUCCUAAGAUGAGGUCCUAAGAUGACCACGCAUGUUAAGUCAAUAUUUCAAAUUUAUGUCAGUUACAACAGAACAAUUGCUACCUUGGUCUUUUUUGUUUUAAUUCUAAAACAGUUAAAAUGAAUAAAUGAGUGACUUUAUAAGGAAAAAAUCAACAUAUUUAGUAAAUGGUUACCCUUAAUUUAUUAUACUGUAUUAGCAGUGAAUUACAAGUACUAUAACAAUACUGUAAUACAGAGGUCCAUCUGAAUAUUUUAUUACAGAUAUUUAUAUGCAUACAUAUCAGGUAUAUUUCGCAUUUUAUUUAUAGAUCAUAUUCAUAUAGAUAUGGUAUAUCCAAAAUUAGUUACAGAUCUAGUUUGUAGUUGGAAAGAAUGCAUACAAGGAAGUAACCACUUAAAAUACAUUUUACGAAUCACACACAUUAAACAAUAUAUAGUAUAAAUAGAACAAACUAACAUGUACUCUUCAAUGUGCUAAAGAUACAGUCUAAUUUUUAUGACUCACCCUAAAUAAAAAAAACAACACUUUGGAAUAACAACAAACAAAAGCAUUGAACCACACAAGCUUUCAAAACAGCUACAAAUAUGGAUAAAUAUGGUUUGUUCCAUUCAAUGGUCCUAUCAUUACAGAACAGUAUUGGAAUAAGCAUCACAACAAAUUUAAAUGUAAAAUCAUAACAUAGCACAACACAUGCUUAGCAUUAAUGAAACAAAAACAAUUAAAGAUAUACACAUUGGUAAGCAAAAAAAUAUAUUAAUGAAAAUGUAAUAGACCAUUACCGUUUGUGGAUUACAAAAAAAAAUGAUUUUAAGCAAAAUAUGUAAUACAUAUAUGUACACUGUGGAAUGUCUAAAUGGAUAUCAAAUAUCAGUAUAAUAUUAAUGCAUAAAUAAGGAAUUGCAUAUACAUGUAUAGUAGAUCUUAUGCAGAACUAAUAUGUACAAGAAGUUAUGAAGUUAAUUUAAAAAAAUGGAAUUACAUAAGUAGGUUACUAAUUCCACAUUUAAUUUUGAUAAUUUCAUAUACCUUAAUUUUCUAUGCUUCUGGUAGCUUUCUCAUUUGUAGACAUUUACACAAUAAAAACAA
rnacentral:sRNA from 1 species